UUGCUUUGGCAGCAUACAUACUAAAACUGGAAAGAUACAGAGAAGAUUAGCUUGGCUCCUGCACAAGGAUGACACACAAAUUCAUGAAGCAUUCCACGUUAAA